GACGAACGCUGGCGGCGUGCUUAACACAUGCAAGUCGAACGGAAAGGCCCUGCUUUUGUGGGGUGCUCGAGUGGCGAACGGGUGAGUAACACGUGAGUAACCUGCCCUUGACUUUGGGAUAACGUCAGGAAACUGGGGCUAAUACCGGAUAGGAGCUCCUGCUGCAUGGUGGGGGUUGGAAAGUUUCGGCGGUUGGGGAUGGACUCGCGGCUUAUCAGCUUGUUGGUGGGGUAGUGGCUUACCAAGGCUUUGACGGGUAGCCGGCCUGAGAGGGUGACCGGCCACCUUAGGACUGAGAUACGGCCCAGACUCCUACGGGAGGCAGCAGUGGGGAAUAUUACACAAUGGGCGGAGGCCUGAUGCAGCAACGCCGCGUGCGGGAUGACGGCCUUCGGGUUGUAAACCGCUUUCGCCUGUGACGAAGCGUGAGUGACGGUAAUGGGUAAAGAAGCACCGGCUAACUACGUG
rnacentral:rRNA from 1 species